AAAUAUUUUAUCCUUUUAAAGUGAAAAGCUAUCUUGAUUGUAUUUACUUUUUACCCUACAAGAUUAGUUUACACUAAGAUCCUUUCCUAAGCAAUCACAAUAAAGAUAAGAAGACUUAAUAACAAUGUUAGUUUCAUUAUACAAUAUCCAAAGAAAUGGGCUAACAUCGGCAAUAAUAUAAAGUAAGGCGGGGGACUAGACUCUUAUAAUGGGCUGGCAAGCAUCAGGCCCAUUUAAAUCAACUAGCAAUAGGUUUCAACAACAGUAAUGCGGCGAGGAGAGUGGUAGCCCGGUUCAUUGAACUUGGUCCAGAGUUCACAAUGAACUCCACUGGUCGAGUGUGCUCAUGCAAAAGGAGAAGAGGAUUAAUUAGUAUGUGCAUAUAGAAUGUAAAAGCAGAAACAUAAGAGAUGAAUAAAAUUAUAAUCUAAAGUAACAAAGCAAGUCAAAUAAUAUUUGUGAUAAACCUCUAGAUAUUAGUUUAAGUCAAUAUCCAUUGUCUAGAUUGGACCACGCUCCCCUCUCAAGGUUUUUCUUUGACUCCUGGCACUUUCUAGUUCACAAAAGGCCCACAAUAUUUAUUCCAGGGAGGGACUCCUUGUAGUAGAGUCAAAUCCACAGCAAAGGCCAAUAGUAACUAAUAUUUGUUCCUCCGUGAAGGUUUGAACACAAAUAUCAACUUUGAGCUUCAAACAAUAGUUUGACCAAAUAGACUCAAAGAAUUCUUACAAGUAAACUUCUAAAACAUUGAGAGUCUAGCACAGUGCCUCAAAUCAUCAAUAGAAAAUCACUUGUGACUGAGUACCAAGACAUUAGAAACUUGAAAUCUAAAUGAACCUAAACCAGCUUUAGGGCAGUUGUAAGGCUCCGUAAAAAUUUACAAAAGAAAAUAAUAUUUUGGGUUGAACAAUGCACUGGAAAGGAAAGAAAAAAUUUGGGCAGAAGAAAUGCACUUCUGCGGCCCACUAUGCGAUCGCGGAAUCACUCUGCGGACCGCAUAAUGGUCGCAGAGUGAGGCAGGGAAGGGCAAUUUUGGAGACCAGGUUUGCAGCGCAUUAUGCAACCACAGACCAAUUCUGCGGUGCAUUAUUCGACCGCAGAACAGGUCUGCGAGCCGCAUAAUUACCGCAGACCAGGUCAGUCACGCCCAGUUUUGGAGGCAAAACUAUGCGGACCGCAUAUCAAUUAUGCGAUCGCAGACCUUGUUCCGUAGCUUCAUUUUUGUAUUUUUAAAACCCGACCCUACUUCGUUAAAUACACGCUUUGGGCUAUUUUUGAGAUAAAAUCUGACACUUUUAAAGUUAGAGAGUGCCCUAGAGUGAGAAGGUGUUCUUCAACAGUUUGUUUUUCAAUUCUUGCUCGAAUCUUGGAAGAUUAACAAGGAAAAACUCCCUAGGUCUUCAUCCUAAAGGUAAUAUUCUACACCCUAACCCUCAAUUUCGAAUUUUAUCUAGAAUUUGGUUAUUAGCAAGAUAAUUUUGGGCUUGGGAGUUGUCCAUCUUACAUGUAUGUAUUAUCAAAGGGUGUAGGAAGAUUGUGAAGCUAAAAACGGUAAAUAAUGGGUUGUGGUAUGAUAGAAUCCUCUAUAAAAGGACCUUGAAACCUUAAUGCACACCUAGUGUUUUAUAAACUACUCAAAUGAGCUAGAAACAAGAUCAUCUUCCUAUUUUUUGAUCAAUUUGUUAUAUUUCUACAUUAGAUUAAAGUUUCAAAGAAUUACGGAACCUUUUAGAGUUUAAGGAAGUUCAACUGAGGUAUGUUGACUAAACCUUUCUCUUAGAAUUGAAUCCCACGAUAUUCAUGUAAUCUAUGUAAGUCCCGAGUGGUUCAUUAUGAAAUUGGCUAUUCCUAGUAAGAUUGUGUUAAAAGUUAUAUGUUUAAUAAGUACCCCAAAUACCUUAUUUAUGGUACGUUAUCAAUUGAGGAUGUGAUAAUAAUAUUAGCUGGACAUUAAAAAUGUUCGACUUGAAGUCAAAUUCAAACGAAGGCUAUUAUGCCAAAUUUUGUGAAGAAUCUCUAUUUGCCUUAGACUCUUAAUUGCUCACAUGUGUACUACAUGCCUUUAUUUGGAUUGUUGUUUUUGUUAUUGAUGAUGUUGAUGUUAGAAAGUGAAAAGGUGAGCAUGGAAUACUAAAUGCGGCCAACGUGCCAAGAAUGAUUUUAUAAAUAUGGCCAUUAGUGCCAAUGAAAUGAAAAUAUGUGAAAGAACUAUGAAAUGCGAUGAUUGAUAUAAAAAGGUUGAUGUCUCGAAUAAGACAGCCUAGACGAUCAGGUCGUGAUCGGACACCAUGACGCACACAUGGUGAUGAUUGUGCUUGAAAUUCUGAUUUGUGGUCGAUGUCUCCAAUGAGAUAGCCUAGCCGAUCGGGUCGUCAUCAGAUUCCGUGUUAAAGGUACGAUGGUAUUGAUAUUGAGGGUGAUUGUGGUUGAUGUCUCGAAUGAGAUAGCCUAGCCGAUCGGGUCGUGAUGGGACUCCGUGCUAAGAGUACAAUGUUAUUGGUUUUGUGAAUAAUGGUAUUGUGAACGAUGAUAUAUUUGUACUAAGAAUCUCCAACUUAAAAAAAUAUGGAAAUUAAUUUGAAUACAGUCUUGAUCCUAAGUUGAGGUUUGAUGCUUUUUAAGGCUUCCAUUGAUAUUAUGAUAUUCUUAUUUGUUUUAUUUAUCAUUCUAUUCAGAGGGUGUUUUGUCAUUCAUACUAGUACUAUUCCAUAUGUACUAAUGUCCCUUUUUCCGAUGGUGCUGCAUCUUCAAUGGAUGCAGGUGGUUCCACAUCUAGUGAUAUUGAUCAGUGAUAGCGGUACAUCCUCUUCCCAGCUGACUUGGUGAGCCCCACUUCAUUUCGGGGUUAUGUAUCUUUUGUUCGUCGCGUAUUGUGUUUGAGGUAUAGCCGGGCCUUGUUGCCGACAUUAUCAUAGUACUCUUUUGUAUAUAUCAAAGGCUCCGUAGACUGUGAGUUGUGUACUGGUGUUGGGAAAGUCAAACUAUAUGGUGUUGUGGUUGUAUUACUUGUUCUAUUUAAGAAUUUAAAAUAAUGGAACUAUUGGUAAUAAAUUGGUAUUGUAGACAUGAGCAUCUUAUUGUCUAAUUAACAAAAAUGUGCAUCCUAUUUAUUAAUGGAUGAGUUUGCUCGGCCGGGUUCACUCGGUUGAGCGUCGGUCGCGCUCUAUAGUUUUGAGGCGUGACAAACUUGGCAUCGGAGCCUAAUGUUUUAAAGUGUCCUAGGAUAUCUUGGAGCCGUGUCUAGUAGAGUCUUUCUUAUCGGUAUGUUGUCGACCACAUCUAUAAUUAGGAUGAUACUUGGGGAUUUACGAAUAAUACCCUUCUUUCAUUUUCUUGAUCGUGCGAUAAACCUGGAUGUAAGAUUGUUCCUAUUUUAACUCGAGCUUUACUUUAACUUUCUAUAUAUUGCACCUAAGAAGAAGGCAAGAAUUGGCCAAAGAGCCAAUGUCACCCUAGGAGUAACAGUUGAUUCUAUAUAUGGUGAUGCGGGUGAGAAGCCAAGGAGUGAGAAUAUUCCUCCAGUUACUACACUACAUGAUUCUACUACAAGUGAUCAGACCGCACCUAUCCCUACACCUACUAAGGGUACAACGGUCCCUCUAACUGAUAUACCAAUUCCACCUCCAGUUCCAGCUUCUGAUUCUGGUGUUUCUGAUGUUGAUCUUCCAGGAGCCAUACAUAUGUUGUCUCUGAUAGUGGCUGCCCAAGCCUAGAGAUCAAAUGUUACACCUACUUCUUCCAGUCAACCAGGGGAUUCUACUAGUUCAAGGGUGAACAAGUUUCUCCAGUUGGAUCCUCCAAUGUUCGCGGGUACUAACCCAGAGGAGGAUCCAUAGGACUUCAUUGAUGAGACGCACAAGACUCUCUGAGUUAUGCAUGCUAUUGAGAUAGAUGAAUUGGAAUUAUCCUCCUACUACCUUAAAGAGGUGGCAUAUUCUUGGUUUGAACUAUGGGUGGAGUCCCGUGAAGAAGGGAACCCUCCGACGAGGUGGGGUGAGUUUGCCAAUGCAUUCAUUGAUCAUUUAUUUCCUACCAAGACUAAGGCAACAUGUGCUGCUGUGUUUGAGAACCUGAGGCACGAUUGCCUGAGUGUGUGGGAUUACCACAUAAGAUUCCGGUACCUAUCCAAGUAUGCUAUUUACAUGUUUCCUACUAUGGAGGCUAGAGUGCGACGAUUUGUUCACAGCCUUAGUCCCUUAGUAAUUAAUGAGGCCACUACAACUGCCUUGAAUUAUAAUAUGAACUAUGGAAAGAUGGUGGCAUUCGCUCAAGCCACCGAGAUCUGCAAAUUGAGGAACAUAAUGGAGACAGAGUGUAGUAAUCAGGCCUGGUUUGCGGGAAACUUUGGUGGUUCUUCUGGUGGCGGAAGGUCAGCCUUUAGGGGAGGGUCAUCAGCGCCAUCACAGUACCUUGCUCAGUCUUAGGCUAGUGCACUUCCAUAAGGGCCCAGUCAACAGCAGGGUCAUCAUGGUGGUAGUUUCCAGCAGCAGAGGAGGCCCUCGUGCCCUAGGAAUAGAAAGAUGCACCUAGUAAUAUUCUACAUGGACUUACCCAUAUGCUACAUAUGCAGAUUGAGGGGUCACAUUCAUAGGAAUUAUCGUUCGUCCCGCCAUGGGGCAGGCAGGGGCACUGCACAUCCAGCCAGUUCUGCAGCUACUACAUCCGUAAUACCUCCUCCAACUCAAGGCACUCAAAUACCUGCUGGGCUUGGUGGAGCUAGGGGUGGGGCACAAAGUUGGGGAGGAUCUGACCAUUUCUUUGCUAUAAGGGGUCGCCAGAAUUCAGAGGCUUCUCCAGAUGUGGUGAUAGGUAUAUUGACUGUCCAAUCUCAGAUGUGUAUGAUCUUAUUGAUCUAGGUUAUACUUUUUCAUAUGUCACACCUUAUGUUACUAUGGAAUUUGGGAUAGAACAGGAACAACUUCAAGAGUCAUUAUAUGCAUCUACUCCGGUUGGUGAGUUUAAUUUGGCCGCACAAGUUUAUAGGGAUUGUAUUAUCACGUUGCGUUGUCGGGACACCGUAGUUGAUCUUAUUGAAUUGAGAAUGGUCUAUUUUUAUGUGAUAAUGGGAAUGGAUUGGAUUUAUUCAUGUUUGACCAAACUUGAUUUCCGAAACAAAACUGUUAGGUUCAAAUUUCCAAAUGAGCCAGUUAUUGAAUGGAAGGGUGAUGAUGUAGUGUUGAAGGGUAGGUUUAUUUCUUACCUUAAGGCCACGAAAAGGAUCAACAAGGGGUGUAUUUACCAUUUGGUUUGGGUUUUGGACACCGAUUUUGAGGCACCUACACUUAAGUCAGUUCUUAUUGUGAAUGAAUUUUUGCAAGUCUUUCCGGAUAAACUCCAUGAAAUCCCACCUGACAGUGAGAUUGAUUUUGGGAUUGACGUGAUGCCAGACAUGCAUCCUAUAUCUAUUCCACCCUACCGAAUGGCACCAUUAAAAUUUAAGGAGCUAAAUGAACAAUUAAGAGACUUGUUAGAAAAGGGUUUCAUCCGACCGAGUGUGUCACCUUGGGGCGCACUGAUGAUUUCUGUAAGGAAGAAAGAUUUGUCACUGAGAAUGUGUAUUGGUUAUCAAUAACUUAAGAAGGUCACAAUCAAGAAUAAGUACUCACUGCCAAGGAUAAAUGACUUGUUUGACCAAUUACAAGGUGAUAAGUACUUGUCCAAAAUUGAUUUACGAUCCAGAUAUCAUCAAUUGAAGACCAGAGAGACACAUGUUCCGAAAAUGGCUUUUAGAACCAGGUAUGGGCAUUUUGAAUUUUUGGUGAUGUCUUUUGGGCUAACAAAUGCCCCAGUGGCAUUUAUGGAUCUUAUGAAUCGGGUAUUCAAACCUUUCCUCAACUCCUUCAUGAUAGUGUUCAUUGAUGAUAUUCUUGUUUGUUCGCGGAGUCAAGAGGACCAUGCCGAUCAUAUCAUGGUAGUUUUGUAGACUCUGUAUCAGCAGUUUUGAAAUGUGAAUUUUGGCUUGAAUUUGUUAUAUUAUUGGGUCAUGUUGUCUUUAGAGAAGGAAUUAUUGUUGUUCCUCAAAAUAUUGCAGUUGUGAAGAAUUGGCCGAGGCUUACAACUCCAACAGAGAUUCGCAGUUUCUUAGGCUUAGCUGGGUAUUACAGAAAAUUUAUGGAGGGUUUUUCUAUCCUUACCUCUCCGUUGACUAAAUUGACGCAGAAGGUAAUUAAGUUCCAAUGGUCAGAUGCUUGUGAAAGGAGCUUCGAGGAGUUGAAAUUGAGAUUGACUAUGGCACCAGUGUUGGAUCUACUAGACGAUAUUGAUGGAUUUGUAGUAAAUUGUGAUGCUUCGAGAAUCAGACUUGGGUGUGUAUUAUUGCAACACGACAAGGUGAUAGCUUAUGCUUCCAGGCAACUCAAGAAUCAUGAAAAGAACUAUCCAGCACAUGACUUAGAACUUGUGGCGGUAGUAUUUGUAUUGAAAAUUUUGCUUCAUUAUUUAUAGGGGGUCCAUGUGGAUAUAUUCACGGACCAUAAGAUCCUUCAAUAUAUUGUCAAGCAGAAGGAAUUGAAUUUGAGGCAAUGAAUAUGGCUUGAGUUACAUAAGGACUAUGACAUUGAUAUUCUAUAUCAUCCGAGGAAGGCUAAUGUUGUGGCAGAUACUCUUAGCUAGAAUUCUAUGGGUAGUUUAGCACACUUGGAGGUAUAUCAACGGUCAUUGGCCGAGGAAGUUUACCGAUUGGAUAGUUUGGGGGUUAGUCUUGCGGACUCUAGUGAAGGAGGGGUAAUUGUGCAAAAUAGGGCUGAAUCAUCGCUUGUUGUGGAAGUCAAAGAGAAGAAAUACAACGAUCCAUUAUUGGUGCAAUUGAAAGAGGUGAUUCAUAAACAUAAGACCAUGGCCUUUUCUCUUGGCAUGGGUCAUGGUACACUAAGAUACCAAGGGAGUCUAUGUGUUCCAAAUAUAGAUGGUCUCCGAGAGAAAAUCAUGAUAGAGGCUCACACUUCUAGGUAUUCUAUGCAUCCGGGUUCUACAAAUAUGUAUCAUGAUCUUAAAGAAGUCUAUUGGUGGAAUGAUAUGAANNNNNNNNNNNNNNNNNNNNNNNNNAAGAAGAUGAUUGUGUGUUCUUGAAUGUUUUACCCAUGAAAGAUAUAAUGUGAUUUGGUAAGAAAGGGAAAUUGAGUCCGAGGUAUGCCAGGCCGUACAGAAUCAUUCAGAGGAUCGGUGAGGUAGUGUACAAGCUUGAGCUACCACCGGAUAUAUCAUUGGUACACCCGGUGUUUCAUGUGUCUAUGUUGAAGAAAGUAAUUGGAGUCCCAACACUCAUUGUUCCGGUUGAGACUAUGGAUAUUAAUGAGGAAUUAACUUAUGAAGCGAUUCGAGUUUAUAUUAUUGAUAGGCAAGUCCAUAAGUUGAGAAAUAAGGAAAUUACCUCGGUGAAUGUGAUAUGGAGAAACCACCAAGUUGAAAAGGCUACUUGGGAGGCCGAGGAAGAAAUGAAGAAAAAGUAUACUUAUUUGUUUGAAUAGACAUGUAUUUAUAAUCUUGUGAUCUAUGAAAAUUCUAAGAGUUACUUUCUAUGAAUUAUGUAUCAUUUGUACAAAUUGACGUUAAGGGUGUUCCUUUUUGGUAAUAUAUUGCUUGUGAGGCCACAAUUGGUGUUGUUUUGUGUUAUGUUACAUCGUUGGAUUCUGUAUAUGUUGUUAGGAUGUGUUUUGGGAUUAUUUGACAUGUGGAUAGGCCCAGUUACAGGGGAGACUCUAGCGAAUGUUUUGGAAAUUUAGGGAGUUAGCCAAAUUUUGAAACUACUGGUGAGCGUGAAUUAACAGUUAGGCCACAUUUGAUGCUAAUAAUAGAUUGUGACCCUCAUUCGAUGACAAAUGAUCCUAAGUGGGGGAGAAUGUAAGGCCCCGUAAAAAUUUGAAAAAGAAAAUAAUAUUUUAUGGGGCUGGACUAGGCUUACGUGUUUGAGGAUUGUAGAGGAAAAAUGCACUGGAAAGUAAAGGAAAUAUUUGGGCAGAAGAAAUGCACUUCUGCAUGCGGCAGUGAUGGGCAAUUAUGAGACCAGGUUUGCAGUGCAUUAUGCGACUGCACACCAAUUCUGCGGUGCAUUAUGCGACUGCAGAACAGGUCUGCGGACCACAUAAUGACCGCAGACCAGGUCAGUCAUGCCUAGUUUUGGAUGCCAAAUUAUGCGGCCGAUAGGCGAACCGCAUAUCAAUAUUGCGAUCCCAUAUGCGAUCACAAACCUUGUUCCGUAGCUUCAUUUUUGUAUUUUUAAAACCCGACCCUACUUCGUUAAAUACACGCUUUGGGCUAUUUUUGAGAAAAAAUCUGACACUUUUAAAGUUAGAGAGUGCCCUAGAGUGAGAAGGUGUUCUUCAACAGUUUGUUUUUCAAUUCUUGCUCGAAUCUUGGAAGAUUAACAAGGAAAAACUCCCUAGGUCUUCAUCCUAAAGGUAAUAUUCUACACCCUAACCCUCAAUUUCGAAUUUUGUCUAGAAUUUGGUUAUUAGCAAGAUAAUUUUGGGCUUGGGAGUUGUCCAUCUUACAUGUAUGUAUUAUCAAAGGGUGUAGGAAGAUUGUGAAGCUAAAAACGGUAAACAAUGGGUUGUGGUAUGAUAGAAUCCUCUAUAAAAGGACCUUGAAACCUUAAUGCACACCUAGUGUUUUAUAAACUACUCAAAUGAGCUAGAAACAAGAUCAUCUUCCUAUUUUUUGAUCAAUUUGUUAUAUUUCUACAUUAGAUUAAAGUUUCAAAGAAUUACGGAACCUUUUAGAGUUUAAGGAAGUUCAACUGAGGUAUGUUGACUAAACCUUUCUCUUAGAAUUGAAUCCCACGAUAUUCAUGUAAUCUAUGUAAGUCCCGAGUGGUUCAUUAUGAAAUUGGCUAUUCCUAGUAAGAUUGUGUUAAAAGUUAUAUGUUUAAUAAGUACCCCAAAUACCUUAUUUAUGGUACGUUAUCAAUUGAGGAUAUGAUAAUAAUAUUAGCUGGACAUUAAAAAUGUUCGACUUGAAGUCAAAUUCAAACGAAGGCUAUUAUGCCAAAUUUUGUGAAGAAUCUCUAUUUGCCUUAGACUCUUAAUUGCUCACAUGUGUACUACAUGCCUUUAUUUGGAUUGUUGUUUUUGUUAUUGAUGAUGUUGAUGUUAGAAAGUGAAAAGGUGAGCAUGGAAUACUAAAUGCGGCCAACGUGCCAUGAAUGAUUUUAUAAAUAUGGCCAUUAGUGCCAAUGAAAUGAAAAUAUGUGAAAGAACUAUGAAAUGCGAUGAUUGAUAUAAAAAGGUUGAUGUCUCGAAUAAGACAGCCUAGCCGAUCAGGUCGUGAUCGAAUACCAUGCCGCACACAUGGUGGUGAUUGUCUUGAAAUUAUGAUUUGUGGUCGUGUAUCCAAUGAGAUAGCCUAGCCUAGUCAAUCGGAUCGUGAUCAGAUUCCAUGUUAAAUGUAUGGUGCUAUUGAUAUUGAGGGUGAUUGUGGUUGAUGUCUUUAAUGCUAUAUCCUAGUCGAUCGGAUCAUGAUCGGACUCCGUGCUUUGAGUACAGUGGUAUUGUUAUUGUGAAUAAUUGUAUUUGAACGAUGGUAUAUCAAUAAUAAGAAUCUUCAACUUAAAAAUAUGGAAAUUAAUUUGAAUACUAUCUUGAUCCUAAAAUUGAGGUUUGAUGUUGUUUAAGGCUUCGAUUGAUAUUAUGAUAUUCUUGUUUGUUUUAUUUAUCAUUCUAUUGAGAGGGUAUUUUGUCAGUCAUACUAGUACUAUUCCAUAUGUACUAACGUCCUUUUUGAAGGGGCAGCUGCCUCUUCAAUAGAUGCAGGUGGUUCCACAGCAGGAGAUAUUGAUUAGUGCUAGUGGUACGUCCUCUUCCCAGCUGAGUUGGUGAGCCCCACUUCAUUUCGGGAUUAUGUAUCUUUUGUUCCCCACGUAUUGUUUUUGAGGUAUAGCCGAGGCCUUGUUGCCGCCAUUAUCAUAGUACUCUUUUGUAUCUAUUAGAGACCCCAUAGACAUAGUGUGAGUUGUGUAUUGGUGUUGGAAAAGUCAAACUAUGUGGUGUUGUGGUUGUAUUACUUGGUCUAUUUAAGAAUUUAAAAUGAUGGAACUAUUGGUAAUAAAUUGGUAUUGUAGACAUGAACAUCUUAUUGUCUAAUUAACAAAAAUGUGUAUCCUAUUUAUUCAUGGAUGAGUUUGGAUAGAAGAAAAUCUAAUAGGCUUGGUCUGUCGGGUUCACGCGGUUGAUCGCCGGUCGCGCUCCCCGAUUUUGGCGCGUGAUAGCAGUCACUUAGAAAGCUAAAAAAUACAUAAAUCAGAAGAAUGAUAAAACUUCACAGCAUAUCCAGUAGUCUAGGCUAAGUAUUGUAAAGCUUACAAUUAGUUUCACAUGAAUCAUGCUACGGAGAAUAAGGAAAUGCUAAUAGAACAAGACAUGGUGAACUUCAUCAGAUUGUUUUUCACUUAAACAAAUAAAACCUUAUAGGUAUAGUAUCUAUAGAAACAAGACAAUCUUGUGACAAUAUGGAAUACCAUAUAUAGCUAAUAUAAACAAAGCAAACAAGUGAGUUUAAAUCAACAGAGGUUUAACAAAAACAGAACAAGACUAGUGUUAACGUCAUGAACUAUAACAUUGUAAGUAGACAAAUCUCAUAACAUGCUUCAUAUCCUAUUCAUGAUACAAGGUAUGAAAACACGAAUGUCAACAUGAACUUUCAUCAGUAUAUAUCCAAAUGGUCGAGUAUUAAAAAACACUAUCAGUGUCACACACUCAAAUUCAGACAUUGAGCUGAACGAAAAGGAAUUAAAAUAACCAUCCUUAGGACAACUUACCAGUUUUUUAUUUUUCCGUUAAGGAUUUGUACCCGGAGUCAGCUCAAGAACAAUUAGCCUCGAUUAGAAAUUAAAGAAAAAAAGGAUGGAAAGAUUGUGAGCGGAUAGAAAUUUUAAUUUUCUCGUGUAGUGAAUUUACUCUAUUGAUUUGUGUGUUUGUUAAGGGCAUUAAAGCUUGGUAUUUAUAGCCAAGUAAUUAGUGUUUUAGGGUUUGAGAUUUUGAACUUUUAUGACUAAUUAGUGACGAACUUUGACGAAACAUUUCAUGACGAAAUCUUCAGAAUAAAAUGAAUAAUCAGAGGGAAUAAUAUGUGAAGAUUUUACCCUCUAAAGAUGAUGAAGAACUAGCCGUUUGAAGUCGUUUAACCUCCGUACAAAAAUUUUCCUAGAGGUCCUUGCGUUUGACCUCCAUACCAUCAGAUGUCAUACAGAGGUCAUGAGAUUCCUCCGAAUCUUCUUGAAUCGAAGAUGCAUGCAAGGUUUUAUUGAGGGAUCAGGCGUGAAUGAAAGUUUGAUGAUGAGAUUCUUAGGGUUUAUUUUUUGGGGAUAGUGUUUAGGUGUUUGGAAUUUGAAGGGAGAUGAUAGAAAGGGGAAUGUUUUGGUAGUGAUCUCAUAGUGACCUUGCACGGAUUUAUGCUAGGGUUCAGGUAUUUCCAGAGGUGUGAGAGGAUGAGAGAGAUGAGAGAAAAAGGUUAAGGGGCGGCUGGUAUGGUGGAUAUAAUGAUUAGGG
rnacentral:lncRNA from 1 species